AAGUGUCAUCGAAAUACUUCUCGGAGUACUGGAUCUGACCCAUCUUCCACUCUACUAGGGAUUUUAGUCUCAAUCAAAUUCCACUUUCAAGUCGGUUGUCCAGUUUUCUUCAAGACUUAUAAUUGAUCUAGAGAGAGAGAGAGAGAGAGAAAAGUGGCGAGAAUAUGUGGGUUUUGAUAAAGAAGAGACAAAAAGCGCAAAUGAA